GAGACAAAGACAUAAUAACUCUUUUAUACACAGUGAAGCUGUCCCCUCCUAGGGUUUCUUCCAUGUGCUCCCCAGUGAACCUGGGAAAAGCUUAUAACCAUGUUUUUAACAAAUUUAAUUGAAUUAAAUUUCGUGACUGCUGCACGUGUUCGAUGAGGAAUUUAAAUAAAAGACAUUGUAAUUCCAAAGCAUGUCCUUCCACUCACACGACCAGUGAGUGUGUCUAUUUCACUAUUCAAAUGCUGUGUUCAAUGAAGGGGGUGACUGCAGUGGCGCAACAUCCAAGACGAGGGUUUUGGGAAAAUUAGGGUUUAGAAUGUUGUUGCUUCACGACGAAACUAAAGCUUUGAAGCUUCGGAGAGGGGUGUAUAGGAAGUGGGAAGGCCGUGCUGCUUUGCUCCGUUUACGGCCGGACAAAAAAGCAACCUGGGUGUGAGACAAAGUGGCUCUUUAGGGUGGGUGUGGGCUCUCCCCCUCUCUCUCCCGGCCACAAUUAUUGUGCUGUUAAAAAAGCGUCUGGUGUCUGCAAUUAUUGGAUCAUCCGGAGGGAGGGGGAGCUAAGAUAGAUAGAUACCUGGUGGAGAGGAAGAACAUCGCGAUGACCCCUCCGAAGUGGCCACCGAGGGAUUGGUGCGACUGUGUCCAACGUCCGACGCACGCUAAAUCGGAACUGUGUGAAGAAAUGCUGCUCUCCACAGCGAGG
rnacentral:lncRNA from 1 species